UACAGAGGUCUCAAGCGUUGUUCGGAUUCAUUGGGCGUAAAGGGUGUGUAGGUGGCGCCGUAAGUCGGGUGUGAAAUUUCGGAGCUUAACUCCGAAACUGCAUUCGAUACUGCGGUGCUUGAGGACUGGAGAGGAGACUGGAAUCAUGGUGUAGCAGUGAAAUGCGUAGAGAUCAUGAGGAAGACCAGUGGCGAAGGCGGGUCUCUGGACAGUUCCUGACACUGAGGCACGAAGGCCAGGGGAGCAAACAGG
rnacentral:rRNA from 1 species